UUCAGAGCCAUUUAUUUUUUUCCCUGUUAAUCCUAAGUAUUCUCCAAAAUGACCAGGUAAUCUUGAAAGAAAAUAAGAUGCCCCAACAUCUGGAUAAUGUCCAAAUGAUGCUUCUGGCAUGGCAAAUACCGUAUUUUCAGUUACAAUACGGAAUUUCGCAUUCAUGGAAAGACCGGCACCUCCUCCCAUGACAGCUCCAUUGAUAAGGAAAACAACUGGUUUUUUGUAUGUCGCCACCAAAUUAUCCAAAGUUAGCUGGUUUUUGUAAAAUUCCUUAACACAAUACAAGUCUCCGUGUAGCAUGAACUGUAUCACUCGAACUACGUCUCCCCCAGCACAAAAUGCUUUUCCUUUUCCCUUAACUAUUACAGCCCUUACUUGUGGAUCUUUUUCAUACUCUUCGAAAG
rnacentral:misc_RNA from 1 species